CCAAACUUGGUCAUUUAGAGGAAGUAAAAGUCGUAACAAGGUUUCCGUAGGUGAACCUGCGGAAGGAUCAUUAUUGAACAAAAUUAAAUAAGGCUGCUGCUGGUUCUUUGGAGCAAUGUGCACGUCUUGUUUUAUUUUAUAUGCUUCUCCUGUGCACUACUGGUAGAGACAUUUCUGAGGCAAUGCACCGUUUCGAAGGCACAUCUUCGGUUGAAAGAAAUUAGCAUCAUUUUGACUUCAAAGUGCUGCUUUUCUUUGACUUAUUGCUUUAGAUGGCUCUACUGUAUUCAUUUAUCACACACCAUAUGAAUGGAUCAGAAUGUUGAACAAAAUUAGACCUUGUGUCUUUUUAAAUUACAUAUAACUUUCAACAACGGAUCUCUUGGCUCUUGCAUCGAUGAAGAACGCAGC
rnacentral:misc_RNA from 1 species